AUUAUAUUUUUAAGGUUUAAUUUGGUCCCUCAGUUGUUUAAAACGCAAAAUUAUGCUCUUUUUGAAAUUUUGUAACAUUGACUAGCAGGUCAACUUCUUCCUCUUCUUUCUCUAACCCUCUACACCUGCACUCAAAACUCAAAGCCACAGGACACCACAUCGCGCACCACCCACAUCACGCACUGUCGCACAUCGACAUGUCGCACACCCACCCACAUCGUGCACCAUUGCGUGCCACCACCCACAAAACCACCAAUCUCCAAACCAAGCCCAAAUAAGCACCGUUGCGCCACCACCAACCUCCUCGAACCCGGAUCCACCAUCAGCCCAAAUAAGCACCUCUAUGUGCCAUCACCCACCUCUACAAACCAGAUCCACACCCACCACCAAAAUCUGAAAGCAAGAGAAGCUCUGGUGACGAAGGACGACGAAACACCGACAACGAAGGGCAACAACGAAGAUAAUAGAAACGAGCACCACAAAGCUAGAUGAAGUGUUUUUGUUUUCCAGUUUUUAUUCUGAUUGUGUUCUAAUUGUUUUGAUUUGAGGUGACUAGGGUGCUGAUUGUGUUGAUUUUAGGUGAUUAGGGUUCUGAUUGCGUUGAUUUGGGGUCGUUAGGGUUUUGAUUGUGUUGAUUUGGGGUGGUUAGGAUUCUAAUUGGAAUUGAUUAGGGGUAAUCUGAUAAUUAUUUUUUAAAAAUUAUAAUAGUUAGAGUGGGGUGUGUUAUAAACUGCUACUUUUUUAAAACUAUUUUUAUUUUAAAAAUAAAUAAUAAAUAUAGUGGCUGAUUUUAGCCACCACUAUUUGCAAAUUUAAACCGUCACAAUUUACAAUUUAAUCGUAUUAGUUAUCCUUGGAUAAAAAGGGUCAAAUUGAACCUUUUAAUAAUUGAGGAACCAAAUUAAACCUUAAAAUAAAAGGGACCAAUUGUAUAAUGAAGUUGGAAUAAAUCCCUAAUUGCUAUAAAAAGUAAAUAAGAUAAUAUUAUUUAAUCUAACACUUCCCCUCAAGUUGAGCAUAUAUGUGAUAUGAACUAAGCUUGUUAUGAAUGUGGUAAACCUACUAGAAAGGAAAGGUUGUUCUAGUCGUGUGGUCGUGUCGAAUAACUAAUGGCUUGACAGCAGUCAGCAGUUCCAACGAGUACUAUUCACUCAUGAAAAGAGCAUGCAUGAAAAGCACAAGAUGUACAUGCAUGGGGGCAUGCGUGGCGGUAGACAACGACGCGACUGUGGCUUCUGGGCCAUCAAAGACAGGCGACGAUGAUCACAAGUAGGCACCGACAAAAGGGUGUCAGGAAGGCUACCAAACAAAGGCAGAGACAUGUGGUACUGUUCACCUCGAUGAGGGCCUAUGCAAGCAAAAAGAUGUGCGUGAGAAUGCGUUGGUGGUUCUUCAAGACGCUGUCAAUGGCACAGUGUAGAUCGGUGGAAGGAAGAUUCGUGGGUUAUUGGCUAGAAAGGUCAAGGAGCUUUGCCUCGGCCACUACUAGUGGUUGAAAAGCAUGUAAAAGUUUUAAGAAAAUACUAUUCAGUUAAAAGUUAUAUAUAUGCAAUGAUUUGUGGUAUUUUAUUUUUCUUCAUUUCUUCUUCCAUAAUGUGAACACGAAAGUUUGUACUUAAUUUCCAUGUAAUAUAAGUUUCACGCCGUUUUCUUCA